UCGGACGUGGUGUACAGUGCGCGCUUGCUUAGAUUGAGUGUUGUAUGUAACUGCAAGCAGGGGGUCCGGGUUCGACUCCCGGUGUCCGAA